GACGAACGCUGGCGGCGUGCCUAAUACAUGCAAGUAGAACGCACAGUUUAUACCGUAGCUUGCUACACCAUAGACUGUGAGUUGCGAACGGGUGAGUAACGCGUAGGUAACCUGCCUGUAGCGGGGGAUAACUAUUGGAAACGAUAGCUAAUACCGCAUAAUAUUUAUUAUUGCAUGAUAAUUGAUUGAAAGAUGCUAUUGCAUCACUACCAGAUGGACCUGCGUUGUAUUAGCUAGUAGGUGAGGUAACGGCUCACCUAGGCGACGAUACAUAGCCGACCUGAGAGGGUGAUCGGCCACACUGGGACUGAGACACGGCCCAGACUCCUACGGGAGGCAGCAGUAGGGAAUCUUCGGCAAUGGACGAAAGUCUGACCGAGCAACGCCGCGUGAGUGAAGAAGGUUUUCGGAUCGUAAAGCUCUGUUGUAAGAGAAGAACGGGUGUGAGAGUGGAAAGUUCACACUGUGACGGUAUCUUACCAGAAAGGGACGGCUAACUACGUG
rnacentral:rRNA from 1 species